rnacentral:rRNA from 1 species
AUUUUAGGUGCUUGCACUUGAAAGAUUUAACAUUGAGACGAGUGGCGAACUGGUGAGUAACACGUGGGUAACCUGCCCUUGAAGUAGGGGAUAACACUUGGAAACAGGUGCUAAUACCGUAUAACAACCAAAACCACCUGGUUUUGGUUUAAAAGACGGCUUCGGCUGUCACUUUAGGAUGGACCCGCGGCGUAUUAGCUUGUUGGUAAGGUAACGGCCUACCAAGGCGAUGAUACGUAGCCGACCUGAGAGGGUAAUCGGCCACAUUGGGACUGAGACACGGCCCAAACUCCUACGGGAGGCAGCAGUAGGGAAUCUUCCACAAUGGACGAAAGUCUGAUGGAGCAACGCCGCGUGAGUGAUGAAGGGUUUCGGCUCGUAAAACUCUGUUGUUGGAGAAGAACAGGUGUCAGAGUAACUGUUGACAUCUUGACGGUAUCCAACCAGAAAGCCACGGCUAACUACGUGCCAGCAGCCGCGGUAAUACGUAGGUGGCAAGCGUUGUCCGGAUUUAUUGGGCGUAAAGCGAGCGCAGGCGGUUUUUUAGGUCUGAUGUGAAAGCCUUCGGCUUAACCGGAGAAGUGCAUCGGAAACCGGGAGACUUGAGUGCAGAAGAGGACAGUGGAACUCCAUGUGUAGCGGUGAAAUGCGUAGAUAUAUGGAAGAACACCAGUGGCGAAGGCGGCUGUCUGGUCUGUAACUGACGCUGA